rnacentral:rRNA from 1 species
UAAUACGUAGGGGGCAAGCAUUAUCCGGAAUCACUGGGCGUAAAGGGUGCGUAGGCGGCUGAGCAAGCCAGGGGUGAAAGGCAGUAGCUUAACUAUUGUAAGCCUUUGGAACUGUUCAGCUUGAGUGUAGGAGAGGUAAGUGGAAUUCCUAGUGUAGCGGUGAAAUGCGUAGAUAUUAGGAGGAACACCAGUGGCGAAGGCGACUUACUGGACUAUAACUGACGCUGAGGCACGAAAGCGUGGGGAGCAAACAGG